ACACUUCCAUCAAACAGUACCUGCCCCUUAGGUGUGCUAGGGAAUAAAUGAAAUGCCUGGGACAUCAUCGUUAAGUGGCAUCUGAUGCAUAAGCAGUGCCCUAGGAAUGGGGUUGCCUGCCUUGGUCUCUAAAGGAUGGGUUCAAAAGGCAAGAGCAGCACACAAGAAGAUAGCUUCAAGCAGGAGAUAAAGCUUGGCCCAGGGCCCAAAGGGGAUACGACCCUUCAGGUUGGCCCUGACCUCUGGGUUGGAUUACCAGUGACACAAUGAACAUUUCAUUAUGAGGCCAUCCCUUGAGCAAACUGACAUGCUGAAAGCUGCCCUAUGGAGAGGCUCAUGUGGCAAGGAACAGAGGGUGGCUUCUGGCCAACACCCAGUGAGGAACUCAGGCCCUCAGUCAAACAGCCUGCAAGGAACUGAACCCUGCCAAUAACCCUGGGUUGAAAGCUUCCCUUUGGAGAAGAACUGAGGGCUGUCUCUGGUCAAUAGCACUGAGGAACUGAAUCCAGCAAACAAUUAUGUGAAGAAACUUGGAAGCUUGUCCUCCCCUCUAGUUGAGCUUUGAGAUGACUGCCGCCCUAGUGGACACCUUGAUUGAAGCCUUAUGAGAAACCCUAAGCCAGAGAACCCAAUUAAGCUACGCUUACAUUCCUAA
rnacentral:lncRNA from 10 species